AGGCAGCAGUGGGGAAUUUUGGACAAUGGGCGCAAGCCUGAUCCAGCCAUGCCGCGUGCGGGAAGAAGGCCUUCGGGUUGUAAACCGCUUUUGUCAGGGAAGAAAAGCUCCGGGCUAAUACCUNGGAGUCAUGACGGUACCUGAAGAAUAAGCACCGGCUAACUACGUGCCAGUAGCCGCGGUAAUACGUAGGGUGCAAGCGUUAAUCGGAAUUACUGGGCGUAAAGCGUGCGCAGGCGGCUUUGCAAGACAGAUGUGAAAUCCCCGGGCUUAACCUGGGAACUGCAUUUGUGACUGCAUGGCUGGAGUGCGGCAGAGGGGGAUGGAAUUCCGCGUGUAGCAGUGAAAUGCGUAGAUAUGCGGAGGAACACCGAUGGCGAAGGCAAUCCCCUGGGCCUGCACUGACGCUCAUGCACGAAAGCGUGGGGAGCAAACAGGAUUAGAUACCCUGGUAG
rnacentral:rRNA from 1 species